rnacentral:ribozyme from 1 species
UACCCAGCAACUCCUAUCCCUACCUCCACGCGGUACCGGCCGGAAACUACGAGCAACCUUAGGGAAGAUCGGGUAACCAACCCCGGUGGGAACUUUGGUCGUAGGCUGACAGGGAAGG